ACGUGUUUGGGAACAGUCUUUUUCCAUUGACUGAAUGGCCAGAACUGUUUGAGUCUUUAAGACUGCCUGAUUGAGCAGCCAGGACUUUUAUCUGCUUUCCUGUCUAAGGAUCACUCACAUCAUGCAAGGAAGAAUGCGUCAUUCAGACUCAUCACACAAACAUCUGUCAUGUUUUCAACCCAGGAAAGAGAAUCUUGGUAAAUAGAAAAGAGGAAAGUGACAGAAACAUUUGGAAAGAAUGAAUGAAUGAAGAGAGAGGGAAGAGGACAAGCAAGGGGUAUGAUUUUUCCCCCCUGAAGACUGCUUUAGCUGCAUCUAAGGAAUUUUGAAUACCUCCAACUUUGUGCAUCUAGAUAAUGGAUCUACCUGCCACCCAAGCCUAAGUAGAACAUGAUGGUCUUCCCCACUUGGGUGAGUUCUGAAGAAGAUUGAGGAGAAAGUUAAUCUAAUCUCAUUAUCAGCAGUGUCCUUCAGAUGUUGACUUGACCCAAUAUAAAAUGAGGAGAAAGGAAGGGAAAAACCCCUGGAUCUCCCCAAUAAUUGGUUAUCCAAACAAUCAUUUCUGUCAUAUAUUAGCCAUGUUGCAAAAAAAAAAACAACAAGAAAAAUAAAAUUCAA